rnacentral:rRNA from 1 species
CCUACGGGAGGCAGCAGUGAGGAAUAUUGGUCAAUGGGCGCGAGCCUGAACCAGCCAAGCCGCGUGAAGGAUGACUGCCCUACGGGUUGUAAACUUCUUUUGUAAAGGAAUAAAGUUUGGGACGUGUGCCCUUAUGUAUGUACUUUAUGAAUAAAGAUCGGCUAACUCCGUGCCAGCCGCCGCGGUAAUACGGAGGAUCCGAUCGUUAUCCGGAUUUAUUGGGUUUAAAGGGAGAGUAGAUGGGUUGUUAAGUCAGUUGUGAAAGGCUCGGGCUCAACCGUAAAAUUGCAAUUGAUACUGGCAGCCUUGAGUACAUGUGAGGUAGGCGGAAUUCGAGGUGUAGCGGUGAAAUGCUUAGAUAUCACGAAGAACUCCGAUUGCGAAGGCAGCUUACUGACCUGACACUGACACUGAUGCUCGAAAGUGUGGGUAUCAAACAGGAUUAGAUACCCCUGUAGUC